rnacentral:misc_RNA from 1 species
AUCUCUCAACUAGACAGUUUUUAUUAACUUGUUUGGCUUGGAUGUGAGGGCUGCGGGCGACUCUACAGUUGUCGGCUCCCUUUAAAUGCAUUAGCUGGGGACUUAGUAUGUUGUUCAAGUGCUUCAAUGCUUGAAGACCUCCGGUGUGAUAAUUAUCUACGCUGUUGGUUUAGUUGUUGCGCAUUGUUUGAGCUUCAGAAUAGACUCUGCUUCUAAUUGUCUCUUUCGAGACUAGUCCCUUUGGACUACUUUGACAA